rnacentral:lncRNA from 1 species
GCCCCCCCGCGCCCCCCGCGGCCGCGCCCCUCCGCGCCGCUCCGUUUUGGCUUCUGUGUGAGGACCCGUUGGAGACUCCCGGGAGGCCUGCACGUCUCAGGCCCUGGGGCUGGUGGCUGGACGCGGCCGGUGAGUCCCCUAUACUUUCACAGUUCUCUUCACUCUUCCAAGACUAGAAAAAAAUGAUCACAGCCCAGGUGAGUUGUUUAUUUAUUCACCAUUUUGCUUAACAGUAAUGUGAGGUUUGUAA